GUGAUGUUUGUACCUCUUGGCGUCCGUAUCUCCAUCUGAACUCUGCGGCGCACACUGGGCUGGCUCGGCUUCCUGUUAUUGGCAGGGAAACAAAAGAGAUCUCAGAGCAUUUGCAAGUGGCGAGAGUAAUCAUCUGCAGUGCUUUAAGACAGAGGGAUGAUACAUUACCAGUUGGUCCUACUCCAGUUGGCCCCUCCCCUUGACAACAGUUGCCUAGUGCCACAACUGGAGCCCAUCACUGGGGCCGGGCUGACAGCCAGCCUGCCAGAUGUGAGGCCUUCUCCACGCUGUCUGUAAUCCAAGCAGAAACACAAACUUCAGGAGUGACCUUGUUGUGGCCACAGAUUCCCCUCCGUGUAAAGCAGCCUCCUUCAGGACCCUGCUAUUAGCGGCUUUGUGGGGCAGAGUGGCGACAUCUUAAUGGCACACAGACAAGAGGA